ACAGCUAUAAUCAAGUCAGUGGAAUACAGUUCAACAUUCAGUUACCAACAAAUGAUCACAAUUAGCAAAGAAAGAUCACUAACCUUUAAUCAUUUCGGGAUCACAGGACACUUUGAAGAUCUACUCAAAUCUAGGGACCCUCUUCCCCAGAAACAGACACAAACAGACCCAAAGAGAGCCCGCAAAUAUCAGCAUCACUGGAUUUUUCACUUGCUUGCCUCCUUUACACUUCCCCUUCCUUUUUGGCCUCUGAAGAAG
rnacentral:lncRNA from 1 species